CCUACGGGCGGCAGCAGUGAGGAAUAUUGGUCAAUGGGCGGAAGCCUGAACCAGCCAAGUCGCGUGAGGGAAUAAGGCCCUAUGGGUUGUAAACUUCUUUUAUAUGGGAAUAAAAUGUUCCACGUGUGGGAUUCUGUAUGUACCAUAUGAAUAAGGAUCGGCUAACUCCGUGCCAGCAGCCGCGGUAAUACGGAGGAUCCGAGCGUUAUCCGGAUUUAAUGGGUUUAAAGGGAGCGUAGGGGGUUUGUUAAGUCAGUUGUGAAAGUUUGCGGCUCAACCGUGAAAUAGCAGUUGAAACUGGCAGUCUUGAGUACAGUAGAGGUGGGCGGAAUGCGUGGUGUAGCGGUGAAAUGCUUAGAGAUCACGAAGAACUCCGAUUGCGAAGGCAGCUCACUGGACUUCUACUGACGCUGAGGCUCGAAAGUGUGGGUAUCAAACAGGAUUAGAUACCCCUGUAGUC
rnacentral:rRNA from 1 species